rnacentral:rRNA from 1 species
UACGUAGGGUGCGAGCGUUAAUCGGAAUUACUGGGCGUAAAGCGUGCGCAGGCGGUUUUAUAAGCCAGAUGUGAAAGCCCCGGGCUCAACCUGGGAAUGGCAUUUGGGACUGUAAGGCUGGAGUAUGGCAGAGGAGACUAGAACUCCUGGUGUAGCAGUGAAAUGCGUAGAUAUCAGGAGGAAUACCGAUGGCGAAGGCAGGUCUCUGGGCCAAUACUGACGCUCAUGCACGAAAGCGUGGGGAGCAAACAGG